rnacentral:lncRNA from 1 species
UAAUCCGCUACUCUGCAGUGAUUUUCUUUCACUCCAGUAUCGUUUGUACGUUGCAGCAUCAUCAAACACUAUAUGGCCGAUGAAUCAGAAGAUGACGUAGAUGCUACGAGAGAGCUCAUUUCACAAUGGACAACAGAAGUGAUACGUGACUUUCUACAAGGAGGGGACUCAAGCUUGGAGAAGUCAUUAUUUUAUGGGUGUUCUCUGCCCUGACGCUGGGGGUACUGUUCAGCCAUUCGAGGUAGAGAGGUAGAGAGGUAGAGAGGAACUGGACGAUGGAUGGAUGGGGGGGGGGG